AUUGAACGCUGGCGGCAGGCCUAACACAUGCAAGUCGAACGAGUGGCGGACGGGUGAGUAAUGUCUGGGAAACUGCCUGCUGGAGGGGGAUAACUACUGGAAACGGUAGCUAAUACCGCAUACCAUCGGAUGUGCCCAGAUGGGAUUAGAUAGUAGGUGGGGUAAAGGCGCACCUAGGCGACGAUCCCUAGCUGGUCUGAGAGGUUGACCAGCCACACUGGAACAGAGACACGGGCCAGACUCCGACGUGAGGCAGCAUUGGUGAAUAUUGCACAAUGGGCGCAAGCCUGAUGCAGCCAUGCCGCGUGUAUGAAGAGGGCCUUCGGGUUGUAAAGUACUUUCAGCUGGGAGGCGUUACCCGCAGAAGAAGCACCGGCUAACUCCGUGCCAGCAGCCGCGGUAAUAC
rnacentral:rRNA from 1 species